CCUACUGGAGGCAGCAGUAGGGAAUAUUGCUCAAUGGGGGAAACCCUGAAGCAGCAACGCCGCGUGGAUGAUGAAGGUUUUAGGAUUGUACACUCCUUUUGUGAGAGAAGAUAAUGACGGUAUCUCACGAAUCAGCACCGGCUAACUCCGUGCCAGCAGCCGCGGUAAUACGGAGGGUGCAAGCGUUACGCGGCAUCACUGGGCGUAAAGCGUGCGUAGGCGGGCUUGUAAGUCAGAUAUUAAAUCCUGUAGCUUAACUACAGAACUGCAUUUGACACUAUGAGGCUAGGGUGUGGGAGAGGUAGGUGGAAGUCGUGGUGUAGGGGUAAAAGCCGUAGAUAUCAAGAGGAAUACUCAUUGCGAAGGCGACCUACUGGAACAUUACUGACGCUCAUGCACGAAAGCGUGGGGAGCAAACAGGAGUAGAUACCCUAGUC
rnacentral:rRNA from 1 species